AACGAACGCUGGCGGCAGGCUUAACACAUGCAAGUCGAACGCCCCUCCUUCAAGCUCGCUUGAAGAAUCUUCUGGAUAGAGAAGAUCAGGACCGCAGGCGGUCUUGAUGGAGGGGAGUGGCAGACGGGUGAGUAACGCGUGGGAACGUACCCUUUGGUUCGGAAUAACCCAGGGAAACUUGGGCUAAUACCGGAUACGUCCGUAAGGAGAAAGAUUUAUCGCCAAAGGAUCGGCCCGCGUUGGAUUAGCUAGUUGGUGAGGUAAUGGCUCACCAAGGCGACGAUCCAUAGCUGGUCUGAGAGGAUGAUCAGCCACACUGGGACUGAGACACGGCCCAGACUCCUACGGGAGGCAGCAGUGGGAAUAUUGGACAAUGGGCGAAAGCCUGAUCCAG
rnacentral:rRNA from 1 species